GAUUUAGGUUUACAGUUUUGUAAUUAAAAGGGAAUUAGGUGAAAAUCCUAAACAGUCCCGCUGCUGUAAGUUAGUUAUUGUAUUAAAGCAAUAAAUCUGUAAUACGGUCAUUGCCUAUAUCUGAAUUAGAGCGAGAAGGCCGUGUUAAGUUACCAAACACAGUUCUAACAAGUCAGAAUACCUGCCGAAUCACA
rnacentral:ncRNA from 1 species